rnacentral:rRNA from 1 species
GCUUACGGCCACACCACCCUGAACACGCCCGAUCUCGUCCGAUCUCGGAGCUAAGCAGGGUCGGCCUGUUAGUACUUGGAUGGAGACCGCCUGGGAAUACCAGGUGCUGUAAGUU